rnacentral:rRNA from 1 species
UACGUAGGGGGCGAGCGUUGUCCGGAUUUAUUGGGCGUAAAGAGCUCGUAGGCGGUUUGGUAAGUUGGAUGUGAAAUCUCCAGGCUCAACUUGGAGGGGUCAUUCGAUACUGCCAUGACUAGAGUUCGGUAGGGGAGUGUGGAAUUCCUGGUGGAGCGGUGAAAUGCGCAGAUAUCAGGAGGAACACCCGUAGCGAAGGCGGCACCCUGGGCCGGAACUGACGCUGAGGAGCGAAAGCGUGGGGAGCGAACAGG